AAGGAUAUAUUCGGAACAGUUUCGCAGGAAACUGAAACGGAAUAACGUGACAUAUUGUAUUCAGUUUUGAAUGUUUAUUUGAAACAUUCAACGUGAGAUGGGCCUAUAGCUCAGCUGGUUAGAGCGCACGCCUGAUAAGCGUGAGGUCGGUGGUUCGAGUCCACUUAGGCCCACCAUUUUGAUUUUUUGUACAUUGAAAACUAGAUAAGUAAGUAAAAAAUAGAUUUUACCAAGCAAAACCGAGUGAAUUAGAGUUUUAAAAGCUUUAUUCAUUUAAAUGAAUCGCUAGUAAUCAAUUGCCGACGGCAAACGAUUACUCACAAUAUUAAUAAC
rnacentral:misc_RNA from 1 species